GGGGUUGUGGCUCAGAGGUAGAGCACUCACCUAGCAUGUGAGAGGCACUGGGUUUGAUCCUCAGCACCACA
rnacentral:tRNA from 1 species